GGGACGAAGUCAUACCUGCUUCUGGAGAUCGAAGAUGCUUGCAGCGUUGAUGAUGAUUCUCACCUACUGCUUCCUCUGGUCCGAAGACAAUUUCAAGGAUAAUUCUCCUCACUGUGUGCUGCCCUCUUGUUCUCUCUUUCUCUAUGUAUUUGGAUUUGUGCUCUGUUUUCUUUGUUUUUUUUUGUUCUUAACUCUGUUUUUCUGGGUUGA